rnacentral:lncRNA from 1 species
GCGGACGGAGUAAUACUGAACAUAAAGUUUAAUCUGUCAGCGUAUGCAAGUUCAGAUAAACAUCAAGCAGUUGAUCGACAACGUGAGGAGCAGCUCGCAUCAUGCAAGUCCGGUAACAUCGUACGCUUGCCAGCAUAAUUGAAAAACAAAGUGCAGACCUGCAUGCAAGAUGUUCCGGUAACAAUACAGCACAUCAGACACAAUAUAUGUACACGAUCGCUUAGAGUCAAUCUCUGAUAUCUAAACCAAGUAAGACCUGCCAAGUUUAGUUCCUUCAGCCCCGGUGAUAUGCGAUUUAGUUUCGGCUUCAGAUACCAGUGUGGCUCACUCUGCCGUCCAAUUCUUCUUCCAACAUCUCCUAAUUAUCCGAAGGUGUUCUGCCACUUUUUCUUCAUUGUUGGUCUCUGUUCUGUUUCCAAACAAAUACACUUCAGCGAUGGCUUCUCAAUCUCUUCAUGGAUAGCAAUACCUCUUCACUACAAGCUGAUGAGGUGAUCGUGAUCUGCGUAGAAUACAAAGUUCCUCCUGCUGAUGAGUCUCAAGAGAAGAACUCUUUGUGGGCACUGAGCUGAACUUUGCUUCCUCCCACCCCUGCACAAACUGAGAGAACAGCCUCAAGCACGGAAGUCUCUAGGAAUUACAAUUGGGACCCACUCACAAUCAGUCCAACUUUGUGGCUUCUAGCCUUCCACACGGAAACAGGAUGCGUGCAUAUUUUGUUCUCUUGCAUGCAAACUAGUAGUGCUUACUUUGGCCGAAUGGCAAGCGGCUUCACAUAAUUCCAGUGCACACAAUAAGCCUCCAUUCCAUGCGUUCAUAUGGCCAGUAACUUUCCACUGUUGGCUGGUACAGUCAAGAACUUCGACCGAGUCCUCAUGUGUUUAACAGCCCGUCUUUCGAAGCUUAACAGAUUUGACAGUGUCCUGAUCGGAGACACACAACUGAACCCAACUAACGGCCGGUUUCGGAUCAAACCGUGUUGCUUCCUCCAUUUCAAAUUGUAUGU